UUAUGGUAUAAUAGUUAGGUGCUUUGCACUAUGGUGAUAAAUGUGAUUUAGAAUAGGUGUUUUGCGGACUCGGGGGCGGUACCCGACAUCUCCACCAAAAUUUUCAUUAUUAUGGGGAUGCAAAAGCUUCGACGCGCAUAGUAAAAAAAUUAUUUUUACCCGGCAAGAUACAGCCGAUUUGACUUAGCAAUAAGUUGGAUAUUAGUUCAAAAUCGAUAAACGCAAACGAUAACUUUGCUAAUGAUAAUUAUCGCCAAGCUCCAGUAGCAGUAGCCGCUUUUGCUUAAUUGAUAUUAUCGGGGUUUUGAGGUUUUCCUGUCAACAGAAAAACCUCGCU
rnacentral:tmRNA from 1 species